UGGCUAGUGCUUACGGUUUAUCUUAUACU
rnacentral:piRNA from 1 species